rnacentral:rRNA from 1 species
AUUGAACGCUGGCGGCAGGCCUAACACAUGCAAGUCGAACGGUAACAGGAAGCAGCUUGCUGCUUUGCUGACGAGUGGCGGACGGGUGAGUAAUGUCUGGGAAACUGCCUGAUGGAGGGGGAUAACUACUGGAAACGGUAGCUAAUACCGCAUAACGUCGCAAGACCAAAGAGGGGGACCUUCGGGCCUCUUGCCAUCGGAUGUGCCCAGAUGGGAUUAGCUAGUAGGUGGGGUAACGGCUCACCUAGGCGACGAUCCCUAGCUGGUCUGAGAGGAUGACCAGCCACACUGGAACUGAGACACGGUCCAGACCCCUACGGGAGGCAGCAGUGGGGAAUAUUGCACAAAGGGCUCAAGCCUGAUGCAGCCAUGCCGCGUGUAUGAAGAAGGCCUUCGGGUUGUAAAGUACUUUCAGCGGGGAGGAAGGGAGUAAAGUUAAUACCUUUGCUCAUUGACGUUACCCGCAGAAGAAGCACCGGCUAACUCCGUG